rnacentral:lncRNA from 1 species
UUUUUUUUUUUUUGAGACAGAGUCUCACUCUGUCACCCAUGUAGAGGAUAAUUGGUGACUAGACAGAAAAUCCAUCCAUCAUAAAUACAGUCUAACUGUUGAACAACAGAUUUCUGAGUCUACCAUAACUUUCAUGCACUCCAGCACUUUAGUGUUGAACUUGCCACCUUCAGAUUCACACUGCAGCACCUCGGGUAAGAAGGAAAGGAAGUGAAUAUGCACAGAGGAUCCACUUGUGUUAUGAGCUUUACAGUUUAGCUGCAGUGGAGAAGAGUUUAUUUCUUUCUUGAAAGUGAGGGCCUCACUCAAGGCCCUAGAGCUCUACAAGACCCUAGAGCAGGUGGCAAUGCCAGCUAGGCUUGUGUCCUUCCCUUCAGGGUGAUGAGUUCCUCCAGGCCCAGGCAUGUCCACAGGUUCUGUCUGAGGGACCAAAGUAAACAACCUGGGAAGUUUACGUGGUGUUCUGUUGUACUGCGGCUGAGCUUGCACUCAAGCCAUGAGAUGGAGUCCUUCCACUCUUCCCUUGCUCUUCCACAGGCAGAGGAGCCUCUCCCUGCAGUUACCUUCACCACAGGCUCAAGCGGAAUACUGGCAGGCUAUUCUCAAUGUUCCCUUAAGGCCCCAGAGCUUUUCAGUCAGCCUGUGAUGAAUGCUGCCUAGCCUGGGGCUCACCCUUCAGGGCAGCGGGCUCUUGCUUUUUUAUUUGGCAAGAGGCAGUUGGGGGCAUGAGGAAAAAUCUUUCCUGUUCCAGAAAUACUGAGGAGUGAACUAUUAGUUUUUUCACAAGUCAGCUAAUCCAGACAGUCUGAAGAACACUAAAUCCUAAGAAUACUUAAAAUAACCCCUCAGGCUUUUUUUUGCUAGUCUUUUGUCCUCCCCAAAUGCAAAGACAGUUUUGAAGGUCAGACCAAAAUAGCUUCUUCACUAAAAAUACAAUUCUUAUUACUAUGGAGACUUACAGGAAUAAUGAUCAAACAGACAAAACUAUGUAAAGUUUUGUACAUGAUGUAAUUAUAUUUCAUUUAUUCAAUUAAUCCAUUAUUCAGAAUACUGCCAUCUAAGUAAUCAAGUAACUCAUAUACAUAAACCAAGUAAAGCACAUAUAUGCCCCUUUAAAACACACACACACACACACACACACACACACACACACACACACAUAUUCGUUCUUCAUUGCAGACUCAUAGAUUGCAAAGUGUCUGAGAUAGAUAGCCAUUUUAUGUAAGCCUGUGAUUUGGAGAUGAGUAGCAGAAUGUUAGGAUGAUUUGCUCAGAUUCCACAUCCAACUGGUAGGCCAUCUGCACUGAAUGCCCCAGAGUUUUACUCUGAGACUUUUAUUGACACAGUCAAGAUCAUGUAAUGGCCCCCUACCACAAUCCUAAAUAUGGCUAUGCACUAAAUUUUGAGGUGUGUGUGUGGUAGAAAAAUUGUUCAAGGAAAUUGCUGGAUCUCAAGAGCUUUGAUUGUGGCUGAACAUCAAACAGAGCUUUUGUCCUGUAGUGACGUGACCUGGAUCUUUCACACACCUUUCCUGUAAUAAUGAGGGAAUGGACUCAGAGGAUUUCAAUAUCACAAAGCAGAUCGGCUUUCAAAGCACAAGGUUCUUACAG